rnacentral:lncRNA from 1 species
UCUCCCUGGUCUGGCCCACCGGUCGAUCUUUCCACACCCUUCAGUCUGUGCUGCCUCCUGCCUUGUUCUGACCCACACUCAUCCCCAUAUCUGCCUUGCAAUACACCCAGGUUGUUCCUGGUGUUGUUUCCCUGUCAUCUGGCUCCAUCCUCCUCUAACCCUCUGCCUAGCCCCACAUCUGGAGCCACAGCUGGAUCUCAUCAUAACGGCCCUAGAACAUCCACAAUACAAGACCUGGUCCUUGUCCGGUCUUCCUGGACCCCACUUGUCACCUGGUGAAGGGAUCCUGUGAUCUGAAAGAAGCUAUGUUCGAUGCUGCCCUGUGACUCUGUAGAAGAUGGGAAAUUGUGUUGCAGAGACCUGAGAAAGCAACAGUCUCUCAGAGAAGGGAGGUCCCUCCCAGCGUAGCUGCAAUUCAUGCCCAAGGUUCUCCUGUCCAGGACAGACCCUGCUGCAAGGCUGGAGCUCCAGUCACUGCUGUGUCAUGUGAACUCCUGUGGAUUCCCCACACGUGACCAACAGAACUACCACCAGAAGAGGACAGAGAGGCAGAUUCUGUCCUGGACAGCUUCUUCAGCCUUCCAUCCCAUUUGAUGUGGUCUGAUUUUCUCCUGCACUGCUUCAGCCACAGCCGGUCUUCUUCUUCUAGAGUCCCUCCCUAGACUAUAGCAAGACUAAACCAAUCGGACAGACCCAUCUCUCCUCCCUGUGUCUGAGUCAGCCACGUGCAACAAAAUGCAUCCUCUUUCCUGGACCAUUGUGGGCCCGCAUCCCACCCCGUGGCAGGGCACGGCCACUUGGGAAGAGAAACGCAGGGAGCUUGACUACGCUUAUCCCACCCACGCUGCUGCCUGGCAGGUGCUGGGCUUCAGUGAAGCACAGAGACGCCGCUCUGGGGGUGGGAAAACAGUCUGAGAUGUGAGCAAGCCGAAGCUGGUGUUCCCUAACUUCUGAGCAUCUAGUCGCUGCUAGAGAACCACACAAAGUAGUUGCGAACGAGGUGUCAGGGGUCCAAGGGCCACAACAAGGCCAAAACCACUGGGGGCUGUCAGGCUGAGAAUGGCAUGUCGCCCAGGCCUGGGGCUGGGAGCUCCAGCUUUGCUCAUUGGCGAAGGUAGCAGCAGUUGUCUGGGGGCCCAGAGGGCCCUCCUAUGGGAGACUUAGGCUGUGUGGCUUUGUAGGGGAAGGCCUGCUCCGUGCUCCCCAUGACUGUGGUAGAUGAAAGAGACAGUCCUUGGUUCCAAACUAUUUAUUGAUUGUUCAUCCUGGGAAAUAUUCAUAUCUUCUUCUCAGGGUGGACCUGAGAUUAAAUACCAUUUGCAGGGAGGAAUGUCUGGGAAGGAAAACUUAUUGGCUAAUCCCUCAGUGCCUGUAGGUACCUCUUUAGCAUGGAGAACUCUGUUCUGGGCGAACAUCACCACAGGUCACAUUUCCUUACGUGGGAAGUGUGGCAGGUGUUCCAGACCAGGUAUCUGGCAGGGAGCAGGGAGGCACCUACUAUCUCAGGUGUGAGUUUCCGGGGUCUCAACCCGCUCUACCCACCAAGCUUCCUGGCAUGGUUUACUGUCCCACAGAUCAUGGAAGAGGAGACAAGUGUCUGACUUGUUCUUCCUCUGGAUUCCUUCUUAAUGCUCAGAGAGGAGAAUAUUUAUUUAUACAGAUCUGUAUAAAUGUGCUGCCACCUGAAUCCAUGAUAGUGUCCGUGGUCCAUGCCCAGGGUCAUGCUGAUGCCCAUAGGCUGUGCUACCACUGGAGACCACGUUGGUGUCUAUGCCCCAUGCUACCACCAAAGGCCAUGUUGAUACCUGUGGCCUGUGCUGCCACAGAGGACCAUGAUGGUGUCUGAUCUGUGCUACAGCUGAGGACUGUGCUGAUGUCCGUGGGUUUGCGUGUCCCCAGAAAGUAUGUGGGGAUCCAUGACCCAUGUCCUGACUGUGAAGGACAAGGAAGCCUCUUCUGCAGUGGCCGUGAUGACUGCAGACUCACAGCUGAGACUGAGAAACAUAGAAGUCCUCUGUGACAACCUCUUCCACCCCAACCCUCACGCCUACCCCCUCCC